UGCAGUCGAACGAUGACGGUGGUGCUUGCACCGCCUGAUUAGUGGCGAACGGGUGAGUAACACGUGAGUAACCUGCCCUCCACUUCGGGAUAACCUCGGGAAAUCGUGGCUAAUACCGGAUAUGAGCACUCAUCGCAUGGUGAGUGUUGGAAAGAUUUAUCGGUGGGGGAUGGACUCGCGGCCUAUCAGUUUGUUGGUGAGGUGAUGGCUCACCAAGACGAUGACGGGUAGCCGGCCUGAGAGGGCGACCGGCCACACUGGGACUGAGACACGGCCCAGACUCCUACGGGAGGCAGCAGUGGGGAAUAUUGCACAAUGGGCGAAAGCCUGAUGCAGCGACGCCGCGUGGGGGAUGACGGCCUUCGGGUUGUAAACCCCUUUCAGUAGGGAAGAAGCGAGAGUGACGGUACCUGCAGAAGAAGCGCCGGCUAACUACGUGCCAGCAGCCGCGGUAAUACGUAGGGCGCAAGCGUUGUCCGGAAUUAUUGGGCGUAAAGAGCUUGUAGGUGGCUUGUCGCGUCUGCCGUGAAAACCCGAGGCUCAACCUCGGGCGUGCGGUGGGUACGGGCAGGCUAGAGUGUGGUAGGGGAGACUGGAACUCCUGGUGUAGCGGUGAAAUGCGCAGAUAUCAGGAAGAACACCGAUGGCGAAGGCAGGUCUCUGGGCCAUUACUGACACUGAGAAGCGAAAGCAUGGGUAGCGAACAGGAUUAGAUACCCUGGUAGUCCAUGCCGUAAACGUUGGGCACUAGGUGUGGGGGACAUUCCACGUUUUCCGCGCCGUAGCUAACGCAUUAAGUGCCCCGCCUGGGGAGUACGGCCGCAAGGCUAAAACUCAAAGGAAUUGACGGGGGCCCGCACAAGCGGCGGAGCAUGCUGAUUAAUUCGAUGCAACGCGAAGAACCUUACCAAGGCUUGACAUGCACUGGACGGCUGCAGAAAUGUGGCUUUCUUUGGACUGGUGCACAGGUGGUGCAUGGUUGUCGUCAGCUCGUGUCGUGAGAUGUUGGGUUAAGUCCCGCAACGAGCGCAACCCUCGUUCUAUGUUGCCAGCACGUGA
rnacentral:rRNA from 1 species